rnacentral:tRNA from 1 species
UGGGGUGUGGCUCAGUGGUAGAGCACUUGCUAGCAUACACGAGGCACUGAGUUAGAUUCUGAGCACUGCAU